GGACCUGUAGCUCAGAUGGUAGAGCACCGGAUUGAAAAUCCGGGUGUCGUCAGUUCGAUCCUGACCGGGCCCA
rnacentral:tRNA from 1 species